ACCUAUGCUGUCUUGUGCAGGAUCCCAGGCAGAAGUUUUGAAAGAGUCCUGGGAGAAAACAGUAAGGCUUAAAUUCUGAUCUUUGAAAUACCUAUUUAUUUAACUGGUUUGCUAUGAAGUGUUGCUUUAAAAUAAAACGCGAACUACACUGUCGGGAACUGGCGUAAUGAUAAUGAGCCUUCAACCAACUGUAGCUUACAGUAAUUGCUGUCUGAUGACUGAACACAAAUCUCAUCCUGUAUGGCAGCAUUUCACCAAGCCAAGUUUAAGUUAUUGUUUACAAGUUGUAUUGUGUUUUUGUUAUUUAAGUUUAUAUUUAAAUUUUCACAAGUCAGUAUUCAAUAAAUGCUAAGUUGAGAAA